rnacentral:rRNA from 1 species
UACGAAGGGGGCUAGCGUUGCUCGGAAUCACUGGGCGUAAAGGGCGCGUAGGCGGCUCAUGAAGGCUGUGGUGAAAGUCCGGGGCUCAACCUCGGAUCGGCCGUGGCGACUCGUGGGCUGGAGCACUGUAGAGGCGGGUGGAAUUCCGGGUGUAGCGGUGGAAUGCGUAGAGAUCCGGAAGAACACCGGUGGCGAAGGCGGCCUGCUGGGACAAUGCUGACGCUGAGGCGCGACAGCGUGGGGAGCAAACAGG